AUUGAACGCUGGCGGCAUGCCUUACACAUGCAAGUCGGACGGCAGCACGGGAGCAAUCCUGGUGGCGAGUGGCGAACGGGUGAGUAAAGUAUCGGAACGUGCCCAGUCGUGGGGGAUAACGUAGCGAAAGUUACGCUAAUACCGCAUACGAUCUAUGGAUGAAAGCGGGGGAUCGCAAGACCUCGCGCGAUUGGAGCGGCCGAUAUCAGAUUAGGUAGUUGGUGGGGUAAAGGCUCACCAAGCCGACGAUCUGUAGCUGGUCUGAGAGGACGCCCAGCGACACUGGGACUGAGACACGGCCCAGACUCCUACGGGAGGCAGCAGUGGGUAAUUUUGGACAAUGGGCGAAAGCCUGAUCCAGCCAUGCCGCGUGCAGGAUGAAGGCCUUCGGGUUGUAAACUGCUUUUGUACGGAACGAAAAGGUUUGGCCUAAUAAGCUGAGCUCAUGACGGUACCGUAAGAAUAAGCACCGGCUAACUACGUGCCAGCAGCCGCCGUAA
rnacentral:rRNA from 1 species